rnacentral:rRNA from 1 species
GAUCGCCUUGAGUUGAUCAUGGCUCAGGACGAACGCUGGCGGCGUGCUUAACACAUGCAAGUCGAGCGGGGUCCAACCACUGGCAACAGUGGGGAAGGCCUAGCGGCGAACGGGUGAGUAACACGUGAGGAACCUGCCCCAGAGACCGGGAUAACCCUCCGAAAGGAGAGCUAAUACCGGAUGUCCUCAUCGGACCGCAUGAUCUGAUGAGGAAAUGGAUUCCGCUCUGGGAGGGCCUCGCGGCCUAUCAGCUUGUUGGUGAGGUAACGGCUCACCAAGGCAUCGACGGGUAGCUGGUCUGAGAGGACGAUCAGCCACACUGGGACUGAGACACGGCCCAGACUCCUACGGGAGGCAGCAGUGGGGAAUCUUGCGCAAUGGGCGAAAGCCUGACGCAGCAACGCCGCGUGGGGGAUGAAGGCUCUCGGGUUGUAAACCCCUUUCAGCAGGGACGAUUAUGACGGUACCUGCAGAAGAAGGACCGGCCAACUACGUGCCAGCAGCCGCGGUAAUACGUAGGGUCCAAGCGUUGUCCGGAUUUAUUGGGCGUAAAGAGCUCGUAGGCGGCUCAGUAAGUCGGAUGUGAAAACUCGGGGCUCAACCCCGAGACGCCAUCCGAUACUGCUGUGGCUUGAGUCUGGUAGGGGAACACGGAAUUCCUGGUGUAGCGGUGAAAUGCGCAGAUAUCAGGAGGAACACCGAUGGCGAAGGCAGUGUUCUGGGCCAGUACUGACGCUGAGGAGCGAAAGCG